rnacentral:rRNA from 1 species
AGCCCGGAGAAAUUCGGAUUAAUACCCCAUAGUACUACGAGAAGGCAUCUUUUUGUGGUUAAAGUAUUACGGUAAAGGAUGGCUAUGCGUCCUAUUAGUUCGUAGGUGAGGUAACGGCUCACCUAGACUUCGAUAGGUAGGGGCCCUGAGAGGGGGAUCCCCCACACUGGUACUGAGACACGGACCAGACUCCUACGGGAGGCAGCAGUGAGGAAUAUUGGACAAUGGUCGAGAGACUGAUCCAGCCAUGCCGCGUGCAGGAAGACUGCCCUAUGGGUUGUAAACUGCUUUUUUACGGGAAGAAUAAUACCCACGUGUGGGUAGAUGACGGUACCGUACGAAUAAGGACCGGCUAACUCCGUGCCAGCAGCCGCGGUAAUACGGAGGGUCCGAGCGUUAUCCGGAAUUAUUGGGUUUAAAGGGUCCGCAGGCGGGCCAGUAAGUCAGGGGUGAAAGUUUGCGGCUUAACCGUAAAAUUGCCUUUGAUACUGCUGGUCUUGAGUUGCGGUGAAGUGGCCGGAAUAUGUGGUGUAGCGGUGAAAUGCAUAGAUAUCACAUAGAACACCGAUUGCGAAGGCAGGUCACUAACCGCCGACUGACGCUGAUGGACGAAAGCGUGGGGAGCGAACGGGAUUAGAUACCCCGGUAGUCCACGCCGUAAACGAUGGA